rnacentral:rRNA from 1 species
CCUACGGGAGGCAGCAGUGGGGAAUUUUGGACAAUGGGCGCAAGCCUGAUCCAGCCAUUCCGCGUGCAGGAUGAAGGCCCUCGGGUUGUAAACUGCUUUUGUACGGAACGAAAGGGCUCUCUCUAAUACAGGGGGCAUAUGACGGUACCGUAAGAAUAAGCACCGGCUAACUACGUGCCAGCAGCCGCGGUAAUACGUAGGGUGAGAGCGUUAAUCGGAAUUACUGG